UUCUUGAAAAUUAAAGAUUUUGGCGGUAUUUUAGUCUAUUCAGAGGAACCUGUUCUAUAAUUGAUAGUCCACGAUUUAAUUUACUUUUUUUAAAAAUUUAUAUAUCGUCGUAAUUUGAAUAUUUUAUAAGAAUUUAAAUAUUCAAGAUUUAUAAUAAUAAAAUAAAUCAGAUCAAGGUGUAGUUUAUAAAAAAGAAGAAAUGGGUUACAAUAAAAAAAUUUUAGGAAUAUUAUUUUUAAAAUAGCAUGAAUUUGGAUUUGAGGGUAAUUUUAAUAAAUUUAUUAGAAUGAUUUUAGCUCUAAAAUAUGCACAUAUCGCCCGUCGCUUUCAUGUUAAUAUGAAAUAAGUCGUAACAAAGUAGAUUUACUGGAAAGUGAAUCUAGAAAGAUCAAAUUAGAGCUUGAUUAAAAGUAUUUUAGUUACAUUAAAAAGUUAAUUGUGAAAUUCAAUUUAAUUUGAUAAUUAAAAAAUUAUUGAUUAUUUUUGGUUUAGGUUAAUUAAAAUAAAAAAAUUUUUGUUUUAUUAAUUAAAUAGAAAAAAUUAAAUUAAUUAUAGUAGAUUAGUAUUGUGAAAGAUAUUUUAAAGUUUUAUAAUAAAAAAAUUAAUUUUUUGUACCUUGUGCAUCAGGGUUUAUUAAAAAAAAUUAAAAAUUUAAUAAUUUCGAAGUUAAAAGAGCUAAAAAAAUAUAUUUUUUAUUGUAAAAUAAAUAUUAUUAAUAUUUUUUUAGUAAUGAAAUGUUAUUCGUUUUUAAAUAUAUCUAAUUUUUUAAGAAAUAAAUUUAAUUUAUUUAUUAUUAAUAAUAAUUUUAUUUACUAAUUUUUUAUUAAUAAUAUUAAAUAUUUUUAGGGAUGAGCUUAAAAAUAGAUUUUUAUUAAUUUAUGAAUUUUUUAAAAUUGUAGGAUUAGAAUUUUUUAUCAAUAAAAAAAUGUUAUAAUUAAUUUAAUAUAAGAUAUUAUUUUUAUAAGUUAUAAAUUUUUUAUUAAAAUAUUAAUUUUAAUUAUUAAAAUUAAGUAAUGAUGAUAAAAUUAGUAUAAUUUUAUGUUAUUUAAUUUAAAAUUUUAGGUUAAAUAAAGGAAUUCGGCAAAUGAUUUUUUACCUGUUUAUUAAAAACAUGUCCUUUUGAAAUUAAUUUAAGGUCUGGCCUGCCCACUGAAUUUUGAAUGGCCGUGGUAUUUUGACCGUGCUAAGGUAGCAUAAUCAUUAGUUUCUUAAUUAGAAGCUGGAAUGAAGGGUUGGAUAAGAAAAUAGCUGUCUCUAUUUAAAUUUAUUAGAAUUUUAUUUUUAAGUUAAAAAGCUUAGUUAUUAUUAAAAGACGAGAAGACCCUAUAGAGUUUUAUUAUAUAUUAAUAUUUUUUAUUUUAGUAUUAAU
rnacentral:rRNA from 1 species